rnacentral:rRNA from 1 species
AAUGAACGCUGGCGGCAUGCCUAACACAUGCAAGUCGAACGAGACCUUCGGGUCUAGUGGCGCAUGGGUGCGUAGCGCGUGGGAACCUGCCCUUAGGUUCGGAAUAACUCCCCGAAUGGGGUGCUAAUACGGGAUCUUGUCUUCGGUCCAAAGAUUUAUCGAAUUUGGAUGGGCCGGCGUUGAAUUAGCUUGUUGGUAGGGUAAAAGCCUACCAAAGGGAGGAUCCACAACUGGUUAGUGAGGAUGAGCACCGACACUGGGACUGAGACACGGCCCAGAAUCUUACGCGAGGCAGCAGAGGGGAAUACUGGACAACGGGGGGAAGCAUGAUGCAGUUAGGCUUGUAGAGCGAUGAAAGUCUGAGGGAAGUAAAGCUCUUUUACCCGUGAUGAUAUUGACAGUACCGGGAGAAUAAGCUCCGGCUAACUCCGUG